GGGAGGCGACGGGCCUCGGCCUGCGGAACCUGAGGCAGCCGGGGAGGGCCGGGCGCGCCGGCCGGAUAGCGAGCCGCGCUGGCGGCGGCGGUGGCCGCGAUGAUGGAGAUCCAGAUGGACGAGGGCGGCGGCGUGGUGGUGUACCAGGACGACUACUGCUCCGGCUCGGUGAUGUCGGAGCGGGUGUCGGGCCUGGCGGGCUCCAUCUACCGCGAGUUCGAGCGCCUCAUCCACUGCUACGACGAGGAGGUGGUCAAGGAGCUCAUGCCGCUAGUGGUGAACGUGCUGGAGAACCUAGACUCGGUGCUCAGCGAGAACCAGGAGCACGAGGUGGAGCUGGAGCUGCUGCGCGAGGACAACGAGCAGCUGCUCACCCAGUACGAGCGCGAGAAGGCGCUGCGCAGGCAGGCGGAGGAGAAAUUCAUUGAGUUUGAAGAUGCUCUGGAACAAGAGAAGAAAGAGCUGCAAAUCCAGGUGGAGCACUACGAGUUCCAGACGCGCCAGCUGGAGCUGAAGGCCAAGAACUAUGCUGAUCAGAUUUCCCGGUUGGAGGAGCGGGAGUCGGAGAUGAAGAAGGAGUACAACGCCCUGCACCAGCGGCACACAGAGAUGAUACAGACCUACGUGGAGCACAUUGAGAGGUCCAAGAUGCAGCAGGUCGGAGGAAACAGCCAGACUGAGAGCAGCCUGCCGGGGCGGAGGAAGGAGCGCCCCACCUCCCUGAACGUGUUCCCCCUGGCUGACGGCACGGUACGUGCACAGAUCGGGGGCAAGCUCGUGCCUGCGGGGGACCACUGGCACCUGAGUGACCUCGGCCAGCUGCAGUCCAGCUCCAGCUACCAGGUUUUGUAGCCGUGCUGUGGAGUGAGAGGCUCCUCCCUGUUGCUGGUGUUCCCCGUUCACUGGGGCGGGAACCUCGUCUGCAGGCAGCUCCUUCGCGGCUCUCUGGGCCACUCGCCCUCUCCCUUUGUGUGUGGCAGGAUGGAGAAAGCCAGCCAGGGUAUCAGGGGCUUGCGCUGCCCAGCAGGCCCUGUGUGGCUGUGGCUGCUCCACGCGGCCUCGCGUUGGCACCUGCUAGUACAGGCUAGACCUCCCUGCCCUUGGAUAGACCGCUCUGUAGCCAGGGGUGUACAGUGCCUGUCAGGGUUGAGCUUAGUGAUCCUCUCUCAAACCACACCCCCACGUAAAGCCUCACACUCACCCGGGCUCCAGCCAGACACAUCCUGCCCUUGAGAGCCGCGCCUCUGCUCUCAGAGGAACGUCAGUGUCUAGAGUGUGGGGUUUGCCCUCCGCUGGCAGAAAGGUGAGGAGAAAGCUCCUCUUCUCUGGGCCCCUCCCUGCCUGUCCCUGGUAAUGCCUCCUGGGUCCUGAGUUUGAGAAAGCAGAGCCUCGCCCCAGCAGGUACUCACAGCCAGAGUGCGGGGGCCCUAGCAGGUACUCACAGCCAGAGCGCGGGGGCCCCAACAGGUUCUCACAGCCAGCCAGUGAGUGCACCUCAGAGCGCGGGGGACCAGAGCCAGGCCACUCCUUUAGGGCCCCAGGUCGCUUGCUGCCGGUUUUGGCCUGUGAGCUCACUGGCCUCAGUGCCAGGUAAGGACAGCCACCUUCCUGGGAAGAGGAGGUGACCCUGGGUCUGGUGGAUUUCCCACAGGGGCCGUCGGAGGAUGUCCACAGAGGCAGAGCCCUUGGGGCCUGUGGGCUGGGUUGGGCUGGUGGAUGUGGGGUCUGGGACUUCUCCAGGAGCUUACUUCCUGCUGCACACUUUGCCGACUGUCCUGCCACCUCUGAGUGUCCAUUGGGCCUGUGGGGGCUGCUGCAGGCUCCUGCUCCGUCAGCCCGCCUGCUGCUGCGCUGCUGUGGGAGCGAGCUCCCCCGUGGCAUCUGGGACGCUCUCCUGUCCUCUCCGUGCUCAGGGCUGGAGAGAGGGCGGCGGGGCUGCAGGCUCCCCUGGCCUUCUGGGCCCAGCCCUGCCACUUGGGCCCACCUCCUCUCACUCUCUCUGGCUCACACUCCCCGGGCCUGGAGCUGGGACCUGCCCAUAGGCAUCUGAAGACAUGUCAGCCUCAGCCAGGGGGAGCCCUUGCUUGACGCUCUCUGGCCUCCGGGCUGCCUCUCGCGCCCGCUCUGGGCCCGCUCUUCUUCUCAUGAUGUCUUUCCUUUCACCUCCUGCGUUGUCUGACAUCGUCUCUCUUUUCAUAAAUUGUAGCGUUUUAUGUUUUCGUUCAUAGGUGUGUUUUAUUUGAUUUUUCUUUAUUUUAAAUUAUUACAUUUAAGUUCUUUUUAUUUUAUGCUCUAGGUUUUGAAGUUUUUCUAAUUUCUUAAUUUUUUUGUUGUUUUUUGUUUUGUUUUGUUUUUGUUUUUAUGUACUGUAUUUUCAGUGUUUUAACCAAACAGUUGUGGCUACUCAUGGUGAGGAAUGACCGCUAAGAGUUUGGGUUCUUUCAAUGCAUUUGGAGGUCACUGCUACACGUUGAUGUUUAGGAGGUUGAGAGGUUUGCCUUUAGGUAAGUUGUGGCCAGGGGGAGUGUCCCAUGGGUAAGUGGUGGCCCCAUAGGGUGACAGAGAGCUAGGGGAGGCGCAGUCAGACUGCAGAAUUCCCCACAGCCUCCAGGAGGGCCAGGAGUAGGCCGGGGACCCAGAAGCGUUUGUCUGAUGUGCACAGCUACACCCUGCCUGGCCACAUGGGGUUCCCUGUUUUCUCUCUGCCGGGUGGUGGCAGAGUCGGUGGGACACCAGGUGCCUGUGAUGCAUUGGGUAGACAGGUUCUUUGAGAGCGUCAGCGCAGACUCUUGCAUGAGCGGUACUCGCUUCCUCCAGCGUGGGUAGUGACAUGAAGAGCAAGAGUUUUCCUCUCAAACUGGGCAUAGCUGCAGAGCCACAGCCUGUCUCAGACAUUUCUACAAAGGCACUCCGGGAGGCGGGCUGCGCCCGUGUAGGGCUCUCCCUAGGCACCGCUCACCUUUUGGGGCUGGACAUGCGUGGCCCUGGGCCGCUGGGACGCGGUGGGUGUGGAGCAGCAUCCCUGGCUUCCACCCACGAAUGCCAGGAGCACUCCCUUCGUUUGUGACCACAAAAAUGUCUCUGGACUUUGCAAGCAUCCCCUCGGGGCAGUCAGCCCAACUGAGAAUGGCUACUAUAGAGGAAGGUGUGUCAUUUUGAGAUUCCUUCUAGAGAAACUUAGGAGCCUGGUAGAUGAAGCAGAAAUCUGUCCUCUGAGCGAGUGGCCGUGUCUGGUACUGAGAGGCCCUGUGCCCUGAGCCUGGCGGUGACCAGAGAGGCUGGGCAGAGGCAGAGGUCAGAACUGGCCAUGACUUCUGGAAGUCCUGUCUGCCCUGGGCACUUAAAGGCCAGUAUAAGUCAGCUAUGGAGAGGGCUGGAUACCCCCUCGACAGCUCCUCCCUGGGUGAGAUCCUUAGCAUUAGAGUCCCCCACGGUGCGCCCUCUGAGAGACCACGGGACCCCCCCAGUGGCUGCCUGGGACAGGCACAGGAGCUACCUGGGUGCCUCUGAGGCCUUGCCCUUUCCUACACCUCAAGGAGGGCCAGGGGCCACGGGCAGGCUCUGCUACAGGGGGUGAUCAGGUCAGCUAAGAGGAGAACGUUUGGGGCUCUUUUUCUCGGGCUGGUUCAGUAUCUUCGUUAGGAAAGACCAUCGGAAAGAAUGUUUGUUUCGCGUUCCAUAUUAGUCACAUAGAAUGUGCUCCUCCCUAGUGAGCUUCCUGAGGUAGACAGCUGGUUGCAGUUUCUCAUAAUCUGGGCUGCCCCCACCCUCCAGAAUAUCUUGGUGGCGUCCCAUUCUGUGAGAAGGGGAUUGUGGUUUCUUUGCUCUUGCACUGGUGUUCAGGGCUGAGCUCUGGUCCAGUCAAGCCGCAGGGUCAGCACCUUCUGGUCACUCCCUGGCCCUGACCUGAGCCCAGGGAGGAACGUGGGGCAGGCGCAGGUGGGCCCAGCCUCAAGCUCUUCAGCACAGUGAUGGUGACGGGGCAGCGGUGGCGGAACAGCCAGCCCUUCUUGGGUCCCCAGUCAGAGCCCUCUGCCCUACCUGGGCUGGACUUGUUUCUGAACAGCCACAAGCUACAGGGGGCCGCCGCUGUGUCGCCGGCGAGGCGCUGGCCCAUUACAAGCAAUUGUCUGGGGAGGGCGCCAGUUGAGAGCCCCGUUCCAAGCCAUUUCAGGAGGGUGGCACUGCUUCUGAGGAGCCAGAGUCAGCGGCCGGAUGAGCAGAGCCACUCAGGAGUGGUGAGGCCCGGAAGGGUUAGCCCGGCGGGCGGCAGAGGAGCUCUGGCCCGCAAGGUGUUGAGCGAGGCAAAGUGCAAGGCAUUGGUGUGCGGUUCCUCAGGCAGCCAUGCCGGAGCCGCAGGCCAGGGACCUGCAGUGACUCGCUCUCCCUCCUCCCUGUGUUUGGCCUUAGUGUCCACAGGAUGAAAUGUCUGAGUCAGGCCAGUCCUCGGC
rnacentral:sRNA from 1 species